rnacentral:misc_RNA from 1 species
GUAUUGAUUGCGUGUGAUCGCAAAUAAAAUAAAAGACAUUCUACACUGCAUCAAUGUUUGUGUGAAAACGUAAGCCCCCCUCCGAACAAGCCAAAGGGGGACCCACGCGGUGGUGCACAUAGGGGUGAGAUGGAUGUGUGUGAGGGCACUCGGGCGUGCACGACCUUUCGGGUCAGCGACAGCCCUCGCACCUCGGUUAUACAAUAAUGAUCCUUCCGCAGGUUCACCUACGGAAA